rnacentral:rRNA from 1 species
UAUUCCUGUACUAUGAUAUGACAGAACUGUGGGGACACGUGCAGAGAGCGGAAGCCGGGAAUGGGGUCCCGGUGCAAGCGAGGUACCAGCCGCAUUGGAAAAACCGUGCGGCAAUGGGAAGACGUGAUGCGGAGUGAAGUUUAGUAAUGAAGUCCGUGAGCUGUGCGUCAAGAAAAGCCGCUAUUGUUCAUACCUUACCCGUACCGUAAACCGACACAGGUGGAUGAGGAGAGAAUCCUAAGGCCGGCGGAAGAAGCAUUGUCAAGGAACUCGGCAAAAUGACCCCGUAACUUCGGGAGAAGGGGUGCCUGCGAGAGCAGGCCGCAGAGAAUAGGCUCAAGCAACUGUUUAGCAAAAACACAGGUCUAUGCGAAACCGAAAGGUGAGGUAUAUGGGCUGACGCCUGCCCGGUGCUGGAAGGUUAAGAGGAGAGGUUAGCGCAAGCGAAGCUUUGAAUUUAAGCCCCAGUAAACGGCGGCCGUAACAAUAACGGUCCUAAGGUAGCGAAAUUCCUUGUCGGGUAAGUUCCGACCCGCACGAAAGGCGUAAUGAUUUGAGCGCUGUCUCGACAAUGCAUCCGGUGAAAUUGAAGUACCAGUGAAGAUGCUGGUUACCUGCGCCAGGACGGAAAGACCCCAUGGAGCUUUACUCCAGUUUGGUACUGGGAUCCGGUACUGCAUGUACAGGAUAGGUGGGAGGCUAUGAAUCGGUAACGCCAGUUGCCGAGGAGCCGCUGUUGGGAUACCACCCUUGCAGUAUUGGGUUUCUAACCAGCCGCCGUGACCCGGCGGUGGGACAAUGCCAGACGGGGAGUUUGACUGGGGCGGUCGCCUCCGAAAGGGUAUCGGAGGCGCCCAAAGGUUCCCUCAGGAUGGACGGAAACCAUCCAAAGAGUGCAAAGGCAGAAGGGAGCUUGACUGCGACACCGACGGGUGGAGCAGGUACGAAAGUAGGGCUUAGUGAUCCGGUGGUAUUAAGUGGGAAUGCCAUCGCUCAACGGAUAAAAGCUACCCUGGGGAUAACAGGCUUAUCACUCCCAAGAGUUCACAUCGACGGAGUGGUUUGGCACCUCGAUGUCGGCUCAUCGCAUCCUGGGGCUGUAGUAGGUCCCAAGGGUUGGGCUGUUCGCCCAUUAAAGCGGUACGCGAGCUGGGUUCAGAACGUCGUGAGACAGUUCGGUCCCUGUCCGGCGUGGGCGUAGGAUAUCUGAGAGGAGCUGUCCUUAGUACGAGAGGACCGGGAUGGACGGGCCGCUGGUGCACCGGUUAGACUGCCAAGUCUAUAGCCGGGUAGCCAAGCCCGGAAGGGAUAAACGCUGAAGGCAUCUAAGCGUGAAGCCCCCCUCAAGAUGAGAUAUCCCAUCCGAAAGGAGUAAACCCCCUUGAAGACGACGAGGUCGAUAGGGCAGAGGUGGAAGUGUGGUAACACAUGGAGCUGACUGCUACUAAUAGGGUGAGGGCUUGACC